GAGUUUGAUCAUGGCUCAGGAUGAACGCUGGCGGCGUGCCUAACACAUGCAAGUCGAGCGAAGCACUUUACUUUGAGAUCUUCGGAAGGAUAAGUUUUGUGACUGAGCGGCGGACGGGUGAGUAACGCGUGGGCAACCUGCCUCACACAGGGGGAUAACAGUUAGAAAUGACUGCUAAUACCGCAUAAGGCCACAGCACCGCAUGGUGCAGGGGUAAAAACUCCGGUGGUGUGAGAUGGGCCCGCGUCUGAUUAGCUAGUUGGUAAGGUAACGGCUUACCAAGGCGACGAUUGGUAGCCGGACUGAGAGGUUGAUCGGCCACAUUGGGACUGAGACACGGCCCAGACUCCUACGGGAGGCAGCAGUGGGGGAUAUUGCACAAUGGGGGAAACCCUGAUGCAGCGACGCCGCGUGAAGGAAGAAGGCCUUCGGGUUGUAAACUUCUGUCGUACGGGACGAUAAUGACGGUACCGUACAAGAAAGCCACGGCUAACUACGUGCCAGCAGCCGCGGUAAAACGUAGGGGGCAAGCGUUAUCCGG
rnacentral:rRNA from 1 species